AGAGUUUGAUCAUGGCUCAGACGAACGCUGGCGGCGUGCUUAACACAUGCAAGUCGAACGGGAGGAAAAGAGAAGCUUGCUUCUUUUUGAAUCUAGUGGCAAACGGGUGAGUAACACGUAAACAACCUGCCUUCAGGAUGGGGACAACAGACGGAAACGACUGCUAAUACCGAAUGUGUUCCGGAGACCGCAUGAUUUCUGGAAGAAAGGAUGGCCUCUAUUUAUAAGCUAUCGCCUGAAGAGGGGUUUGCGUCUGAUUAGGCAGUUGGUGAGGUAACGGCCCACCAAACCUACGAUCAGUAGCCGGUCUGAGAGGAUGAACGGCCACACUGGAACUGAGACACGGUCCAGACUCCUACGGGAGGCAGCAGUGGGGAAUCUUCCGCAAUGGACGAAAGUCUGACGGAGCAACGCCGCGUGAGUGAUGACGGCCUUCGGGUUGUAAAGCUCUGUGAUCGGGGACGAAUGGCUGGUAUGCUAAUACCAUAUCAGAGUGACGGUACCCGAAUAGCAAGCCACGGCUAACUACGUGCCAGCAGCCGCGGUAAUACGUAGGUGGCAAGCGUUGUCCGGAAUUAUUGGGCGUAAAGCGCGCGCAGGCGGCUUCUUAAGUCCAUCUUAAAAGUGCGGGGCUUAACCCCGUGAUGGGAUGGAAACUGGGAGGCUGGAGUAUCGGAGAGGAAAGUGGAAUUCCUAGUGUAGCGGUGAAAUGCGUAGAGAUUAGGAAGAACACCGGUGGCGAAGGCGACUUUUCUGGGACGACAACUGACGCUGAGGCGCG
rnacentral:rRNA from 1 species